rnacentral:pre_miRNA from 1 species
AAUAAACGAAUUUAUGAGUUUUUGGAUAGAAUUUCUGACUCUUCAUCUUAUUUGAAACUUUUUAAGAUUAAUAUUUUUAUUAUUAUUACAUGAUAAAACAUAAAUAGUAAUUUACGCGUGACUAAUUUUUUUAAUUUUUUAAUAAAAUUUUUAAAUAAGACGGAUGGUCAAAUGCUCAACCUAGAGAACUCAAA